rnacentral:rRNA from 1 species
UAGGGAAUAUUGCACAAUGGAGGAAACUCUGAUGCAGCGACGCCGCGUGAGUGAUGAAGGCCUUCGGGUCGUAAAGCUCUGUCGCAGGGGAAUAAGACAGUGAAUGUACCCUGAAAGAAAGGAUCGGCUAACUUCGUGCCAGCAGCCGCGGUAAGACGAGGGAUCCAAGCGUUGUUCGGAAUUAUUGGGCGUAAAGCGGGUGUAGGUGGCUUUGUAAGUCAGGUGUGAAAGCCCAGGGCUCAACCCUGGAAGUGCAUUUGAUACUGCGAAGCUUGAGUGUAGGAGAGGUUACUAGAAUUCUUGGUGUAGUGGUGAAAUACGUAGAUAUCAAGAGGAAUACCGGAGGCGAAGGCGGGUAACUGGCCUAACACUGACACUCAGACCCGAAAGCGUGGGGAUCAAAC